AAAAAAGAAGCCAGUAUGCUUGUCUGCUAGAACUUUAUAGGAGCAAUUCAAUGCAUCGUGAAGCACUUAAACUUCUCCAUCAAUUGGUAGAAGAGUCCAAGUCAGAGCAAACUCCUGUAGAGCUCUCAUUGAAGUUCAAGCCUGAUAUGGUCAUUGAAUAUCUCAAACCCCUUUGUGCAACUGACCCCAUGCUUGUCCUGGAGUUCUCAUUGCCCGUUCUUGAAAGCUGUCCUAUGCAAACCAUUGAGCUAUUCUUGUCUGGUAAUAUUCCAGCGGACUUGGUGAAUUCUUACUUAAAACAGCAUGCUCCAAACAUGCAGGCAACAUAUCUGGAACUCAUGCUUGCCAUGAAUGAAAAUAGCAUCUCCGGGAAUCUGCAGAAUGAAAUGGUGCAAAUUUAUCUCUCAGAAGUGCUUGAUUUGUAUGCUGAACUUAGUUCCCAGCAAAAAUGGGAUGAAAAAACAUUUUCUCCAACAAGGAAAAAGCUUUUGUCUGCUUUGGAGAGUAUAUCCGGGUAUAAUCCAGAGGUGUUGCUUAAGAGACUUCCACCAGAUGCUCUGUAUGAAGAACGUGCACUUCUGUUGGGGAAAAUGAAUCAACAUGAACUUGCGCUAUCUAUUUAUGUGCACAAGCUUCAUGUUCCUGAACUUGCACUGUCCUAUUGUGAUCGGGUGUACGAGUCAGGACUUCAACAA
rnacentral:misc_RNA from 1 species